GGUGAUGUAGUUCAGUGGCAGAGCACGUGCUUAACAUAGACGAGGCCUGAGUUCAAUCUCAGUAUCACAC
rnacentral:tRNA from 1 species